CAGUCGCCACGGGAAUACGGAGGGCGCGAGCGUUACCCGGAUUUACUGGGCGUAAAGGGCGUGUAGGCGGCCUGGGGCGUCCCAUGUGAAAGGCCACGGCUCAACCGUGGAGGAGCGUGGGAUACGCUCAGGCUAGAGGGUGGGAGAGGGUGGUGGAAUUCCCGGAGUAGCGGUGAAAUGCGCAGAUACCGGGAGGAACGCCGAUGGCGAAGGCAGCCACCUGGUCCACUUCUGACGCUGAGGCGCGAAAGCGUGGGGAGCAAACCGGAUUAGAUACCCGAGUAGUCCCUGUCUCUUAUAC
rnacentral:rRNA from 1 species